GACAGAGGAGGCAAGCGUUGUUCGGAAUCAUUGGGCUUAAAGGGCGUGCAGGCGGCGGCGCAAGUGUCGAGUGAAAUCCCAUCGCUCAACGAUGGAACGGCUCGGCAAACUGCGUCGCUUGAGGUCGGUAGAGGUGCUCGGAACUCUAGGUGGAGCGGUGAAAUGCGUAGAUAUCUAGAGGAACGCCUGAGGCGAAAGCGGGGCACUGGGCCGAUUCUGACGCUGAUACGCGAAAGCGUGGGGAGCAAACAGG
rnacentral:rRNA from 1 species